CUCUUAUCAAGAGUUGGCUGAGGGAUUUGGCCCUAUGACGCCCAGCAACCGACCGUAAUACCAUUGUGAAAUGGAGCGCAGCUUUUUAGCGCUAUAAAACAAUUCGUUGUUUUAUGAAGGCACGGUGCUAAUUCCAACAGAAAGAGAAAUCUUUCUGGCAGAUAAGAG
rnacentral:ncRNA from 2 species